rnacentral:rRNA from 1 species
UACGUAGGUGGCGAGCGUUGUCCGGAUUUACUGGGCGUAAAGCGCGCGCAGGCGGACUGAUCAGUCUGGGGUGAAAUCUCACGGCUCAACUGUGAGCGGUCCCUGGAUACUGUCAGUCUUGAGAUGUCUAGAGGAGAGCGGAAUUCCCGGUAUAGUGGUGGAAUGCGUAGAUAUCGGGAAGAACACCAGUGGCGAAAGCGGCUCUCUGGGGACCAUCUGACGCUGAGGCGCGAAAG